rnacentral:rRNA from 1 species
CCUACGGGGGGCUGCAGUGGGGGAUAUUGCACAAUGGGGGGAACCCUGAUGCAGCGACGCCGCGUGGGUGAAGAAGCGCCUCGGCGCGUAAAGCCCUGUCAGCAGGGAAGAAAAUGACGGUACCUGACGAAGAAGCCCCGGCUAAAUACGUGCCAGCAGCCGCGGUAAUACGUAGGGGGCAAGCGUUAUCAGGAUUUACUGGGUGUAAAGGGGGCGCAGACGGCGAUGCAAGCCAGGAGUGAAAGCCCGGGGCCCAACCCCGGGACUGCUCUUGGAACUGCGUGGCUGGAGUGCAGGAGGGGCAGGCGGAAUUCCUGGUGUAGCGGUGAAAUGCGUAGAUAUCAGGAGGAACACCGGUGGCGAAGGCGGCCUGCUGGACUGCAACUGACGUUGAUGCCCGAAAGCGUGGGGAGCAAACAGGAUUAGAUACCCCAGUAGUC